rnacentral:lncRNA from 1 species
GGAUCAGAUCUCAUGGGACCACACAAUGGCUGCUUUUGUGACCUACACUGGAUUGAGUGUAUCUCCUGGAAUUUGGCUGUAGAAGGUAAUUAGAGGAGACCCCAAGGGACAUCCUCCCUGGGAAUCCGUAACAUCAGAUUUGCUACAGUGACUUAGGACUGAGCCCUGUCCCCAACCCAGAUGUGUCUGACAGCCGUGAAGAGAUGGAUUCUUUGUCUUCCUCAGAGGUUAAUUUCCCUCAAUGACACGCAGUAGAUCUAUGAAGCCCCGAGUUAACACACAGUUUUUCAAGUGAAUGGACACCAUUGCUUUGGUUUUCAGCACUAUUUUUAAGAACAAUCAGGAUAUUAAAUCCAGUCGAGUGUAUUUAUCAAGCUAAAGUAAAUUCCUCUCUGAAAUCUUAUGACCCACCCCAGUGUUCGUUAUGUUUUGAGUAGAGGCAGCAGAAGUUUAUUCUGCAUGUAUUAGUUUACUGCAGGGUACCCCAUGGCUCAGUCACACCUCUGUACUCUCACAUGCUCUCACUAGACAUAAGUGCAAAGAGUCUCUUCGAUGGAGUACAUCCCACCCAGAGUGUCCAGCGUCUUGGUUUCACGGUAUACUUGAAAUCCCAAAUCCUCUGUAAAAAGUGUAUGCUAAGUAGCAGGUAUUGCUACCAGAUCCCCAAAUUAUUCCAUUUGUCUAUAAAAGUUCCUAUUGCUCCUCUCCCUUCCGCUUCUAGCUCUAAGCCAGCGCUACAAUAUACCAUCCAUCUCCAGCCUGUUUGCUCCCCCUCCAUGUGGUCCUCACCCCUCAACCUGUCUACUUGGCAGCUUUGUCCCUUCAAGUCACUGCUCUCUGUCUCACAGGCUGCACCAGUGGUAGUGGGGAAUAAGAUGUGUAAGGGCUAGCUUCAAGCGAGAGCCUUCUUUCAAAGUGGUUUUUACUAAAGCCCCUGGGCUUAGAAAUGAGAAACUCUCUGUCUAUUAUAUUUUUCUAUUCUUGUUUUGCUAUUUUUACUUCUGGAAAGUGAUCUCUGUCUGAAAAGAGGCUUUCUCCUGGUUUUAACUCUCUCCCUAUUAACCCUCUCACACUGAAAGUUCCACCUUGUGUUCUCAACUUCCAACUCUGACCCAAAAUUAAAUCUCACAGUGGAAAUCCCAACUCUUGUACUUCUACUUCAAAAUAGUAAUUCCUUCUGCAGAGGAAACUCUAGCUGUUGCCCUGGAAAACCAGUGAGGCCCCACACUGGCUCUGUCCAGAUCUCAUAGCAAGCCUUGCUUCUUGGAGUCUAAGCUGAGGCUAAUGCAGUUGCUUCUCAGUACCUGGGUGUUGAAUCCCAGAUAAUGAAUGGCAGAAGUGUUUUGCACACCGCCUGUGCUUCACUAAUGGACAAUGGGUAAUCUAGACAGCCUUCAAGUAGGAGUAAGUCUAGCUCGAUUGGGAAUCCCUUUAUCCCCACUGUUUGCAAAGGAAGCAUGCCUUGCUGUCUUUUUAUAGUAGAGAUCCAUUGCUUGUUUUUGAAAUUCUUUGCAUUUUGUUUGUUGUAUAGAAAGAGUUCAAUACCGUGUAUUUCUACUUGUGAGAAAAGACUGAAGUUAUAAAUUUAAGCAUUAGAACAGAAACAGUAGUGUAGUUGGGUGAAUAAAAUUCAAUCAAAGACGUUGCGAAACACAAAAAUAAACACAAAGAUCAGCUUAGACUUUGAUAUUAUAUUUUGAAUACUAGAUGUCAAUCUGGGGGUUUUAGACAGUCUUUAAAUUUCCAGAAAUUGUCUUUUAUUUUUGCAUUUUGGACUAUAUGGCUCUAGAUAUUUUGAAUAAAGUUUUUUUAUCAUCUAAUUUUUUUAUUUCUGUUCUCAAUAACUCAAUUAUUA